GAUGAAGAACGCAGCAAAAUGCGAUAACUAAUGUGAAUUGCAGAAUUCCGUGAAUCAUCGAGUCUUUGAACGCACAUUGCGCCCCCUGGUAUUCCGGGGGGCAUGCCUGUCCGAGCGUCAUUGCUGCCCAUCAAGCACGGCUUGUGUGUUGGGUCCCGUCCCCCUCUCCCGGGGGACGGACCCGAAAGGCAGCGGCGGCACCGCGUCCGGUCCUCGAGCGUAUGGGGCUUUGUCACCCGCUCUUGUAGGCCCGGCCGGCGCUUGCCGACACCCAACCAUUUUUUUCAGGUUGACCUCGGAUCAGGUAGGGAUACCCGCUGAACUUAAGCAUAUCAAUAAGCGGAGGA
rnacentral:misc_RNA from 1 species